CCGAGUUUACAACUCCCAAACCCCUGUGAACAUACCUAUCGUUGCUUCGGCGGAUCCGCCCCGGCGCCCUCGGGCCCGGAUCAGGCGCCCGCCGGAGACCCAAACUCUUGUAUUUCUUUAGUAUCUUCUGAGUAAACAAGCAAAUAAAUUA
rnacentral:misc_RNA from 1 species